rnacentral:rRNA from 1 species
GAUGAACGCUGGCGGCGUGCUUAACACAUGCAAGUCGAACGAAGCAUUUAGGACAGAUUACUUCGGUUUGAAGUUCUUUAUGACUGAGUGGCGGACGGGUGAGUAACGCGUGGGUAACCUGCCUUGUACUGGGGGAUAGCAGCUGGAAACGGCUGGUAAUACCGCAUAAGCGCACAAUGUUGCAUGACAUGGUGUGAAAAACUCCGGUGGUAUAAGAUGGACCCGCGUCUGAUUAGCUAGUUGGUGAGAUAACAGCCCACCAAGGCGACGAUCAGUAGCCGAGCUGAGAGGGUGACCGGCCACAUUGGGACUGAGACACGGCCCAGACUCCUACGGGAGGCAGCAGUGGGGAAUAUUGCACAAUGGAGGAAACUCUGAUGCAGCGACGCCGCGUGAGUGAAGAAGUAAUUCGUUAUGUAAAGCUCUAUCAGCAGGGAAGAUAGUGACGGUACCUGACUAAGAAGCUCCGGCUAAAUACGUG